rnacentral:rRNA from 1 species
UACGUAGGGGGCAAGCGUUGUCCGGAUUUAUUGGGGCGUAAAGAGCGUGUAGGCGGCCAGACAGGUCCGUUGUGAAAACUCGAGGCUCAACCUCGAGACGCCGAUGGAAACCGUCUGGCUAGAGUCCGGAAGAGGAGAGUGGAAUUCCUGGUGUAGCGGUGAAAUGCGCAGAUAUCAGGAAGAACACCCGUGGCUAAGGCGGCUCUCUAGUACGGUACUGACGCUGAGACGCGAAAGCGUGGGGAGCGAACAGG